rnacentral:ncRNA from 1 species
UGUCAAUAAUCCAUUUAUAUAAAAGGGCACAUUCAUCAUUAGACACAUAGAAGUUGGAUAAACCCAACAACCUUCCAUCCAAAGUCAACAAAUUUGAAACCCAUUUUUUAGAGUUGUUGGUGCCUCAUCUUAAAACUGAUGGCAACGUUAGGAAAUUUGAAGACGUCGUCGGGGGCCCCAGGAAGAGUUAUCUUUUCUUUUUAAUAGCUUGCCCACCCUGAAAUCAUCUCAACCGAAGAUAGGGUCCAGCAGCUGGAAGAGCAUCACACGUCUUGCGGUGUCCGGUGCGCCCUCAAAAACCCUUGAAAUUUGGAGGACCGAGUAUCGUCCAUGUCCGGUCAUACUCAUAACCGCAUCAAGUCUCCAAGGUGAACAAUCUCUGAUCAAUAGAACAAUGUACGUAAGGAAAGUUGGCAAAACAGAUCCGUAACUUCGGGAAAAAUAUUGGCUCUGAGGGUUGGGCCUAGGGGUCUGCAUCCUCAACCCGUGGGCUGUCAGAAGUCUUCCCAUGGGACUAUCACUGAUUAAUGCUACCUCCUUUUGAAUGGCAGUGCAACUAAUUAAUGCUACCUCCUUUUGAAUGGUAGUGCAACUACUUCUUCUUUUAGCUUUUAGAAGU